AACCUAUAAAUACCCUCCGAUUGCUUAACCAGACCGCCCUAUUUUAGUGGCGGUUU
rfam:Rivularia sp. PCC 7116, complete genome.